rnacentral:misc_RNA from 2 species
GGAAGGAUCAUUACCGAGUGAGGGCCCUCUGGGUCCAACCUCCCACCCGUGUCUAUCGUACCUUGUUGCUUCGGCGGGCCCGCCUUUCGACGGCCGCCGGGGAGGCCUUGCGCCCCCGGGCCCGCGCCCGCCGAAGACCCCAACAUGAACGCUGUUCUGAAAGUAUGCAGUCUGAGUUGAUUAUCGUAAUCAGUUAAAACUUUCAACAACGGAUCUCUUGGUUCCGGCAUCGAUGAAGAACGCAGCGAAAUGCGAUAAGUAAUGUGAAUUGCAGAAUUCAGUGAAUCAUCGAGUCUUUGAACGCACAUUGCGCCCCCUGGUAUUCCGGGGGGCAUGCCUGUCCGAGCGUCAUUGCUGCCCUCAAGCACGGCUUGUGUGUUGGGCCCCCGUCCCCCUCUCCCGGGGGACGGGCCCGAAAGGCAGCGGCGGCACCGCGUCCGGUCCUCGAGCGUAUGGGGCUUUGUCACCUGCUCUGUAGGCCCGGCCGGCGCCAGCCGACACCCAACUUUAUUUUUCUAAGGUUGACCUCGGAUCAGGUAGGGAUACCCGCUGAACUUAAGCAUA